GUUGCUUUGGCCGAGUGAUUAAGGCGUGUGCCUACUAAGUACAUGGGCUUUCCCCGCGAGAGUUUGAAUCUCUUUGGCAAUG
rnacentral:tRNA from 1 species